GUUUGAUCAUGGCUCAGGACGAACGCUGGCGGCGUGCCUAAUACAUGCAAGUCGAGCGGACCAAAGGGAGCUUGCUCCUGGAGGUCAGCGGCGAACGGGUGAGUAACACGUGGGCAACCUGCCUGUAAGACUGGGAUAACAUCGAGAAAUCGGUGCUAAUACCGGAUAAUAAAAAGAACUGCAUGGUUCUUUUUUGAAAGAUGGUUUCGGCUAUCACUUACAGAUGGGCCCGCGGCGCAUUAGCUAGUUGGUGAGGUAACGGCUCACCAAGGCAACGAUGCGUAGCCGACCUGAGAGGGUGAUCGGCCACACUGGGGCUGAGACACGGCCCAGACUCCUACGGGAGGCAGCAGUAGGGAAUCUUCCGCAAUGGACGAAAGUCUGACGGAGCAACGCCGCGUGAGUGAUGAAGGUUUUCGGAUCGUAAAACUCUAGUUGUUAGGGAAGAACAAGUGCCGUUCGAAAGGGCGGCACCUUGACGGUACCUAACGAGAAAGCCACGGCUAACUACGUG
rnacentral:rRNA from 1 species